rnacentral:sRNA from 1 species
UUUAGUUCAUGAUGAAAUUCCUGUUAUUUUUCGAUUGAUUAUGAAUCAGAAACUUGCAACUGGA